CAGAAUAGUAGGAAACACCAUCUACGCUGAGAUCAACUCCAACCCGCAGGUAGCAGACUUCACGGUGUACGCUGCUGUCCAGAGGCCUCCUUCUGUCAAGAGGAAGAAAAUCAACCCGUCCUUCAUCUCGACCAUCUACACGGAGGUUCAAGAAGCCCCUUCCAAACCCAGGCGUCCUCAAAUGCAGCGUCCAUCUUCACCUAAUCCUGGGCAUCUGUAUUCAUAGCUUCUGCAGCCCCUCGCUGCAGGACACCAGCUUCCUUUCUUUAAAGGCCUUUUC
rnacentral:lncRNA from 1 species